rnacentral:lncRNA from 1 species
UGGCUGAACAUCUCCUUAGGGAAAAAUGAUAUGUUAGGCCUCAUUUAAUCUCACAACUCUGAGAUUUCCAAUAAGAAAACUAGAGAUUACAUAAUUUAACUGAUUUUCUCAAGAUCAUGUAACUAGUAAGAAGUCUUAUUUUCUGUGUUACUCUAUACUCAAAAACUAACAUUCAAAAUAAUGUCUUUGACUUCUAUUGACAUUUAAAACAGUAACAAUCAAAAUAAUCUAUGCCUGUAAAUUCCGUAUUCUGCCACCAGGUGAUAACAGAACCCUGGUCCUAUGAGGAUUACAAGGGAAACAUUUUGUCUACAUUAUUUCGUGCAUGUGCUAUUCCAUUCUCCAGGCUUGGAAGUGGU